rnacentral:rRNA from 1 species
CACGUAGGCACCAAGCGUUGUCCGGAUUUAUUGGGCGUAAAGAGCUCGUAGGCGGUCUGUCGCGUCUGCUGUGAAAACUCGGGGCUUAACCCCGGGCCUGCAGUGGGUACGGGCAGACUAGAGUGCGGUAGGGGAGACUGGAAUUCCUGGUGUAGCGGUGAAAUGCGCAGAUAUCAGGAGGAACACCGGUGGCGAAGGCGGGUCUCUGGGCCGUAACUGACGCUGAGGAGCGAAAGCAUGGGGAGCGAACAGG